AACCAUUCUCACCUGCGGCUAGACCUGCGGAGGGAUCAUUACCGAGUCACGCACUCAAAUAACCCUUCUGUGGACCUAAAUCAAAACCGUUGCCUCGGCGGGCGGUCCCCUACCCAAAACCCCCACGUGGUGCGGGGUAGGGGACCAGACAGUCCGGCACGCUUAAGGCGUCCGGCGCCAGCCGCUGGCCCUAAACAAUUAAACUCUAGUAACCUUACCUUCUGAGUUUUAAUACAAAAA
rnacentral:misc_RNA from 1 species